AUUCACAAGAAGCAACUGCUCCUCGCUCACAGCCAGGGACACCAGCACAUGGACAGCCAGUAACAGUCCAACACAGCCUGGUACUGGACUCCUCCUGGGUCACUAACCAAGCCACCAGCCCUUUCUCCAUCAACUGCUGUGCUGCUCUUCUAGAAAACUACAUAUGGAGGUGGGCUGUAUUGAGGCAACAGGAUAGCAUGACGGACGUUCUCUGCAACUAUCAUUGAGACCUGAAGCUGAAGCUAUGAAAGCUCUACAAACUGCAACUCUCUUCAACAGUCACCCCUUACUCAAUUCCCACAGUAUGUAUUUAACCACUAAUUCAGCAGCUAAACUUGAGUCAGGCAAAUGUAUACGAAAGAGUUCUAACUUGCCAACCACACCAAGUGAGUAGGAGUCUCACUCUCUUCAAAUGUUAAACUGAAAUGAUCCUUUGCUUGAGAUCAAAACUACACAACACUUGCUGUACACUGUAGGAUUAAAUCAGAAAAUUUAUAAAGAACUGUCUGUUCUAC